GCGAUCAACUCAGCACUGCACACGCUGAGAUUGCAACGGCACAGAGAUGAGCAUGGCCCCUGCGCGAGAAUGCCGUGCAUACUCAGGACGUGUCCCUCAUUUUU
ensembl:snRNA U6 U6 spliceosomal RNA